rnacentral:misc_RNA from 1 species
AGAGAGAGAGAGAGAGAGGGAUGCUAAUGAAGUGUAGUAGUGGAGUGUAUAAAUUCCUUCCUCUUGAUAACAUUGUCUCAUACUUGGUGUGUUUCUAUAUUAAAAAAAUAUGCAACCAAACAUCUGUAAUAUCACUAGCAAUUCUAUUUAUUUCAAAGGUACUGCAAGUUAGGAAUUUCUUAGAAUCAACUUAUUCAUUAUGAAUUUUGCAUGUACUCAAAAGAAGCUCUUUGAUGUAGAAUACAAUAGAACACUCAAAAGGGGUUGAGAAACAAUUCUCAAAAUUUGUAUUAAUCCUCAAUGUUAGUUGUCAAAUUGUCAAUAGUCUCUUGUAGAAUAUCUAGAUAACGUAUGUAUUUAUGGUAUAAUAACUAGUCCUACUAGUAAUAGGAUUAGAAAUCUGAAAAUAAGAAAUAUUAAACCAAUACUAAUUAGGAAUACCAAACACAAUUUUUAUAAGGUCAAACACUCAUUAAAUACAAAACCAGUAACUGUAAAAGUGC